AUUCUUUUGUGAUUCAUAAGUGUGAUGGCUGAGUUUUCACACUAUUGUAUGAGAUAUGUCUUACUCAAACUUUGCUAUGAUGUUACAUCACCCAUUUGACA